rnacentral:rRNA from 1 species
UCCAGACUCCUACGGGAGGCAGCAGUAAGGGAUAUUGGUCAAUGGGGGAAACCCUGAACCAGCAACGCCGCGUGAGGGAAGACGGUUUUCGGAUUGUAAACCUCUGUCCUCUGUGAAGAUGAUGACGGUAGCAGAGGAGGAAGCUCCGGCUAACUACGUGCCAGCAGCCGCGGUAAUACGUAGGGAGCAAGCGUUAUCCGGAUUUACUGGGUGUAAAGGGCGUGUAGGCGGGCUUGUAAGUCAGAAGUGAAAUCUGGGGGCUUAACCCCCAAACUGCUUUUGAAACUGCGGGUCUUGAGUGAUGGAGAGGCAGGCGGAAUUCCCAGUGUAGCGGUGAAAUGCGUAGAUAUUGGGAGGAACACCAGUGGCGAAGGCGGCCUGCUGGACAUUAACUGACGCUGAGGCGCGAAAGCGUGGGGAGCAAACAGGAUUAGAUACCCGCGUAC